UACGGUGAUCAUGGCGGAAGGGAAAUACCCGGCCACAUUCCGAACCCGGAAGUCAAGCCUUCCAGCGCCGAUGGUACUGCACACGGGAGUGUGUGGGAGACUAGGACAUCGCCGGAC
rnacentral:rRNA from 1 species